rnacentral:rRNA from 1 species
CGGAGUGGCAGACGGGUGAGUAACACGUGGGAACGUACCUUUCGGUUCGGAAUAACUCAGGGAAACUUGAGCUAAUACCGGAUACGUGCGAGAGCAGAAAGAUUUAUCGCCGAAAGAUCGGCCCGCGUCCGAUUAGCUUGUUGGUGAGGUAAUGGCUCACCAAGGCGACNAUNGGUAGCUGGUCUGAGAGGAUGAUCAGCCACACUGGGACUGAGACACGGCCCAGACUCCUACGGGAGGCAGCAGUGGGGAAUAUUGGACAAUGGGCGAAAGCCUGAUCCAGCCAUGCCGCGUGAGUGAUGAANGCCUUAGGGUUGUAAAGCUCUUUUGUCCGGGAAGAUAAUGACGGUACCGGAAGAAUAAGCCCCGGCUAACUUCGUGCCAGCAGCCGCGGUAAUACGAAGGGGGCUAGCGUUGUUCGGAUUUACUGGGCGUAAAGCGCACGUAGGC